GAAGAAGAACACUUGAAACCAGGCACUGAACCCUAAAUGCUUCGCCUGGCUAACCAGAUAGAUUACUUCUAUCUGCUAGCUUGCCCUAAGAAAAACAACAGUUCCACAGAUAUCUACUGUGCUUUGAAACACUAGGGCGCUAAGAAAAGUGAAUUUCCAUUAAUGAACUGUAGGUGUGCAUAUCCAGCCAUGAAAGGGCUGUGACCAUUCCGAAUCCAAGCCAUAUAAUUGCUUGAUGCUAAAGAGUGCUUAGUUGGAAAAGAGUUUUCUAUGUCGUUCAAACUAAUGCUCGAUUUAGAAUUCUAUAACAAAAAAAAGAAAAAAUCAAUUAAUCUAUCUCACCUAUAUUAGGAAGCAAUUAAUCUAUCUCACCUAUAUUAUGAAGCAGCUGCUAGGCCUGAUAGCGAAGUGAGCUUUGUGACUUUUAGUAGGGUUGUAUCGUCCGUCUUCAACAUUCAUCCAUAUGACUUAUUUAUUCGAUUCAUUGUAUCUCGAACAGAGAUAAGUCCAGCUUCCUCCUCUUUUCUUUCUUUUUGUUAUAGAAUUCUCUUUUUAGAAGUCGAACUCUAGACCUGGCAAAAGUCCUAUCCUUUCUUGUAGCAGAGCUACGUCCUAAUUGAUUGUAUCAUGCUCUUUCGGGUCGAGGCACCUCUAAUGUAAUCUUUGUCCAGAGGAAGGAGGACUUUCACAGAAAAACAAAAGCUGUAUGCCAAAAAGAGCCAAUGUGAAUUUAGGUUCAAAAGGAUCAAUAACACAUGACGAAGUUCAAGUGUCUUCUCUUCAAGAGAAUAGAGCAUAAUUGUAGGAUUAUAUGGAUAUCGGUGCUUUUAUUCAAUUCCCGAGGCACUCUUCAACGAUUGAGGAGAUUCCUGAGGCAGUCUUAGUGCUAUCGUCAGGGUCACCAGCCUACUGUACCCCUUAUUCUGGCUUAGCCUUGCUUAAACAGAAGAGGCUUGGUUAGCAUCCUUUCUAUCAGGUGCUGUUCUUUGCUACCAACAAUUCUUUAAGUACGCGGUGAAGUAAAUAAUAGUGCACUUGCUGACAGUAGAACCCCCAAGAAAUAUCACAGUAUAGGCCGAUAUCUUUGUGCAAUGUCAUUUACAAGCUAUGCUCCAAAGUCUUGGCAAAUAGGCUGAGAGAAGUACCAGAUGAGAUCAUUUCCGAGGACUUAUUAAAUAGGGGUGCUUUUUCUACGAAUAUAAUCAAUUCCAUAAUGCUAUCCGCUUUGACGAAGCAAAUCAGAUGACGGGCGAUCUACGCCUCGAAAAGGAGAAGUGGUUCUCGAUACUGAGCAAAAAGUCACUUUCGAUGCAGAAAGUAGGAAACCAAGGAAGCAGGCAUUGGAAAAGAGUGAAUCUUUAUCCGAUCCUAUAAUGGCU
rnacentral:lncRNA from 1 species